ensembl:lncRNA
UUUCGUUUUCUCAGUACUGAAACAUUUCACUUGGCUCUCUUUGUUAUCAGAAAACAUUCCCUUCUCUGAUCAAGAAUGAAUCAAGGAUUCAGUUUUGGCAAACCUGUAGCAGUCAAUGUUACUCCAUCGCCAGUGUCCGGCGCACAAGUCAGUAUAUUUCCAGCCACCUCCUCAGACUCCAAUUCUCCUAGCACACCUGAAAACAUAACAACUCCACUUCCUACUCUUGGAGUUCCUAGUGUCAAGUUUCAAGUGUCAUCCUUGUUGGAAAAUGAGUGGAGAAACAUGGAGUGGAGUGAAGAGUAAGUAGACCCACCACUUUAACCCUUUCA